UUAAAAUAAUUACCCAAAGUCUCAAUUCAAAACACAAGUUGACACAGUUAAAAAUACCAAUAAAGCUUGAGCAAAAUCAAAUCUCAGUUGGGUUGAAGACCAAUGGGUAAAAAUAACUUUUUAAACGGGUUUUAAAAGUGGACAGUUAAAGGGUCUCUGGAGAUGUGGAAGUGAGGACUGGUUGACUCUGAAAUGGAGGGAAUUAUGGUAAUCCAACAGUGAUGAAAUGAAGGCAUGGAUUACCAUUUCAAACUGUUCCCUUGUAAGAACAGAUUUUAUCUUUGCUAAUUUCCAUAAAUUAUAAAA